GACGAACGCUGGCGGCGUGCCUAAUACAUGCAAGUAGAACGCUGAAGGAAGGAGCUUGCUCUUUCCGGAUGAGUUGCGAACGGGUGAGUAACGCGUAGGUAACCUGCCUGGUAGCGGGGGAUAACUAUUGGAAACGAUAGCUAAUACCGCAUAACAGUAGAUAUCGCAUGAUAGCUGCUUGAAAGGUGCAAAUGCACCACUACCAGAUUGACAUGCGUUGUAUUAGCUAGUUGGUGAGGUAACGGCUCACAAAGGCAACGAUACAUAGCCGACCUGAGAGGGUGAUCGGCCACACUGGGACUGAGACACGGCCCAGACUCCUACGGGAGGCAGCAGUAGGGAAUCUUCGGCAAUGGACGGAAGUCUGACCGAGCAACGCCGCGUGAGUGAAGAAGGUUUUCGGAUCGUAAAGCUCUGUUGUAAGAGAAGAACGAGUGUGAGAGUGGAAAGUUCACACUGUGACGGUAUCUUACCAGAAAGGGACGGCUAACUACGUGCCAGCCGCCGCGGUAA
rnacentral:rRNA from 1 species